rnacentral:rRNA from 1 species
GACGAACCGUGCGAGCGUUGUUCGGAAUCACUGGGCUUAAAGGGCGCGUAGGCGGUCAUUCAAGUCGGUGGUGAAAUCCUCCAGCUUAACUGGAGAAGAGCUGUCGAUACUGGAUGUCUCGAGGGGUGCAGGGGUCUGCGGAACUUCGGGUGGAGCGGUGAAAUGCGCAGAUAUCAGGAAGAACACCCGUGGCGAAGGCGGCUCUCUGGGACGGUACUGACGCUGAGACGCGAAAGCGUGGGGAGCGAACAGG